rnacentral:rRNA from 1 species
AGCAGCCGCGGUAAUUCCAGCUCCAAUAGCGUAUAUUAAAGUUGUUGCAGUUAAAAAGCUCGUAGUUGAAUUUCGGGAUUGGCGCAUCGGUCGUGCCUCACGGGGUAUGAACUGGUGCAGUCAAUUUCUCACCUUCUGGAGAACCGCGAUGUCCUUAAUUGGAUGCCGCGGGGAACCAGGACCUUUACUUUGAAAAAAUUAGAGUGUUUAAAGCAGGCAUUUUUGCUUGAAUACAUUAGCAUGGAAUAAUAAAAUAGGACGGCAUGGUUCUAUUUUGUUGGUUUCUAGGACCACCGUAAUGAUUAAUAGGGAUAGUUGGGGGCAUUAGUAUUCAAUUGUCAGAGGUGAAAUUCUUGGAUUUAUUGAAGACUAACUACUGCGAAAGCAUUUGCCAAGGAUGUUUUCAUUAAUCAAGAACGAAAGUUAGGGGAUCGAAGACGAUCAGAUACCGUCGUAGUCUUAACCAUAAACUAUGCCGACUAGGAAUCAGACGAUGU